UUAAAUUGUGGACAAAAUCUGAAUUGUCGAGGCUCAAUGCAAAACCCUCCCCCAAAUUGCCACCGCUACAGCCUAAACCCGGUCCCCAUACCAGGUCCAGCUCCCAUUAUCCCAAUACGACGUCGUUUCCCUUGUUUUAAUCAUGACCGUUGGACCUUAUCAAUCCAACGGUCCAGAACUAACGAGGUUCUUGAUAUAAAAUGGUCGGAUAAGCCUACCCCCAAUCCACCGUCUCUCGCACCCCCACUCACCUCACAGACGCUCCUCGCCGGCUUCGCCUGAAACUGCCGCCGGAAUCACCCCACGGCAGCGGCAAUCAUCCAAUACCCUCCAAACUUACACCAUAAACCCCUUCUCCACCUCCCCUCUCCAAAACCAAGCUUAGUUUCCCUCAAAAAUCUUUCAAACUCGUCGAAUCAUCAAAUCUGUGGACGCUGCCUUCGCCGCCCACGGCGGCGCCUUCCACAAUCACCACCAAAUGAACACCCUAGUACUUCCUCACUUUCCUCUUUCCAAAUUCGUAGUCCUUUUCCCUCGAAUAUACCUAGAAUCCUUCGAAUAAUACAUCUGAGGUGGAAGUCCUAAAACCAAAAAUCGAUUUUCAUGGAAUUUUCUGGUUUGCAUGGUUUUGUCAUAAGUGAUUUGAACCUAAAUGGGUCUUAUUUGUGUGUUCCAGUAGAACAACCAUUUGAUACCUAUUUUGGUUUGAAUCAGAGAGGGCCAUUCUUGAUUCAACAUAGCCAAUCAUUCGUUAGGUAUUGGUUCUUAUUUCCUCUUUUGUUUUGUUAGUUUUUGGGUAUUUUCUUUUCGUUCUUCAUUUGUGCAUUUUUAGAACCUCAGGACCCGGCUCUGUCUUUUUUUCUCCUUUUGUUUCUGUUGCUCAUUAGUUUAAUUUUGUAUAGUAGUAACCAUGAGUUAAUUCGGGUGGAUUUCGUUAGAAGGGUUAGAAUUAAUUCAUUUUAUUUUCAUAGUUAGUGUUAAAAUUGUUAAGUAACCAAUUUGUUGUCUUGUUCGAAAUCAUUUGCUGGGUUCAUAACUCCUGAUAAGAUGAUUAAUUUUGUUUUGUGUUUUAUUGUAAUCACUUGAGUUCUUUGGACUCAGUUCUCGCCUCCCUUGUUUCCUGCUCUUUCCUUUCUUUUUCCCAGAUGGCUUUGAUUCAUCUGAGCCUUAGUGCUCGAUGACUAAAGGCCUUAAGCUGAUAACACUGGGUUAUAGUAGUCAGGCUCAUAGUCUAGAUGAGACACUAUAUUAAAUUGACCCAUGAGCUGAAGGUUAGAUAGUUGGGACUAAAGUAAAAACAGGAGUACUUGGAGGGUAAUUUAGGUAUUUGAGUUUAUGGAAUCUUUAAUAACAGAAUAGGAAGCUUCUGGUGAGGGGUUUUUCUGUUGAUUUUCAGAAAAUGAGAGGUAAAAACGUAGAUAGCAAGUCACAAAAUAGGGGACUAAGAUGCAAUCUAAAACUUGCAAAUCUGCCCUACUUACUUGCCUAUAAAGGCAUUCUCGCUGGCUGGAGAAAAAAAGAAGGCAAAGUUUUGAGGCUAAAAAUUUUCAGAAAACAAAGCUGCUACUUUAAAGGUUUUUAGGAGCUAAAAAUACAGAAAAUUGACUUGAGAAAUUAGAGAGCUGAAAAUCUAGAAACAAAACAUAAAAAACUGAAAAACUUUACUGCCUUAUAGAGGAUUUGAGUGAUAGAAUUCAAGAAUACAAACGAUGAACAAGUAUGUACUGUCUGAUUAAUCUCUUUAUUGAUUUUUUGAAGUUUUCCAGUUCUGAAAUACAUUCUAUUUCAUUUGAGACUGAAUAUGAUUUGAUUCGAGGUUUAAAUUGCACCAUUUCUAGGGUUGCUUUGCACCAUUUAGUUUGGGUUGUUUCUUAUGCUGAUUUUUUCUGGAAUCUGGGAGCUGUGUCACGUGUUGCCAGCUGCUGAGCAUAUUGAAUCUCACUUCUCCUUUGUUUCUUCUUUUCCCAGGUAUAUAUCUCUGCACUCUACUUAAUGUAAAAGUCGGAAUUGAAAUCAAAUGGGAAUCAAGAGCUGUGAACAACAGUCACAGCCUUAGUGUUCAUAAUCUAGUUCUUUCGUUUCACUUACUUUGAUCGCUAUUUUGCACCUUUGAUUAUGUCAUUAGCUACUGAUUUCAGUAUACUGUGUGCCAACUGCUGAUUUGGAUAAGAUCUAUUUAAAUGUAGUCAUUCUGUGUGGCUGCUUGUUAAUUGAUUUUUCUAAUCAUAUGAGUUGUUUCUUGCUCUUUGAUUAAUUCUCUGAUGAUUGUCCUACCAUGAGUUUCCUGGCAUGAUUCCUUGUUUACUUAAAGGUGAAUUUCAACUUCUGUUCAUUCAGUGUCGUUUGGAAAUCUAAGUUGGACGAUCAGUGUUGUUUAGAGAUCUAAGUUGGGACGUCUUGUUAGUUAGCAAGUAAUCAUAAUAUUGGCUCGUUGAUUAUGUAUUCAACGUGGUUUGUAUAACAGUAAACGUUAUAUUUAUGACUGUCAGCAUAGAUGUAUACGAUUGUUUAGUGAAAAGGGAAAUUCAUGAUAUUAGUAUUAAUGGCUUCAUCAAAUUUGUCCGUUACUGUAUUGGAUCUAUCGUUUUGGGUUGGAGUAAUGACAAGUAUGCCUAGCGUGAGUCUGCACUGGUGAUUGCAAGCAUGCUGUUCUUUGUAAAAUCAAGGGAAAACAAAGUAUUCUUUAACAUUUUGUGUCAUAGUUGUUGCGUUCCUUCACUGGUUAACAAAGAGUGAUUUCAUACUAUUAUGUUACCUCUUUCUCCAACGUUCCUCUACUCUCCAACGUUCUGCUCCAGCAACUAAUCCCUCCCCAGCUCCCAGCCCCACCCCCUUUCCCUCUCCCCUUACCCCCUCCGGCGACACCUCCCUCCGGCGACCUCCCUCCCCCUUCGGCGACCCUUCUCCGGCGAUCCCCUAAGUAAGUUCUCUCUCUUCUGUCUCUCUCCCCUCUCU
rnacentral:lncRNA from 1 species